AGCGAACGCUGGCGGCAGGCUUAACACAUGCAAGUCGAGCGGGCACUUUCGGGUUUUGUCGGCGGCGGGUGGGGUAGGGGUGGGCAAGUGACCAUCGGGUCGGCAAUAUGCCGGGAAAACUGGGGUAAAAACCGGAACCUCCUUCUUGGGCCAAGGAUUCUUUCCGGGGGAUCGGCCCGCGUCUGAUUAGCGAGUUGGUGAGGUAACGGCCCACCAAGGCUACGAUCAGUAGCUGGUCUGAGAGGAUGAUCAGCCACACUGGGACUGAGACACGGCCCAGACUCCUACGGGAGGCAGCAGUGGGGAAUAUUGGACAAUGGGCGCAAGCCUGAUCCAGCCAUGCCGCGUGAGUGAUGAAGGCCUUAGGGUUGUAAAGCUCUUUUAUCCGGGACGAUAAUGACGGUACCGGAGGAAGAAGCCCCGGCUAACUUCGUG
rnacentral:rRNA from 1 species